CUUCAUCCUCCUUCCUGACACUUUGCAUGACUGCUGUCUUGCAAUUCAUAAGGAAACAGGUAUGCUCACCAAAUGCUUCCAAGCCGGCGAAGGCCAGUGGGAAGAGAAAAGCCCAGGUGCUGGUGUGACCAUCUUGCCAAGAAUGAAGACAUCCAGGAGACAUCGUGCCCCUCCCUUUGGCUAGCUGGUGGCUUUGGAAUUCUCCUCACAAUUGGAGAAUUGUGGAGAUCCCAGGGUCUCACAAGGAGAGCAGGAAAAGACCGGAUGCUUGCUGCCAGCCAGAGGGAGAGAUAUCUCUCAGGAAGAGAUCUCAGAGUUCUGACAACUUGUCAGACCAGAUUCUCCCCUGAGAGACUGGAGCGAAGGCAGAAGGCAGUGAUGGGCAAGACCAGGCCACAACCAGAGCUGCUUAAUUAAAUGCAUGCAUC